UACGUAGGGGGCAAGCGUUGUCCGGAAUUAUUGGGCGUAAAGAGCGCGUAGGCGGUCCGAUAAGUCGGCUGUGAAAGUCAGGGGCUCAACCCUUGAAAGCCGGCCGAUACUGUCGGACUAGAGUCCGGAAGAGGCAAGUGGAAUUCCCGGUGUAGCGGUGAAAUGCGUAGAUAUCGAGAGGAACACCUGCGGCGAAGGCGGGUUGCUGGGCCGACACUGACGCUGAUGCGCGAAAGCCAGAGGAGCGAACGGG
rnacentral:rRNA from 1 species